rnacentral:rRNA from 1 species
GACGAACGCUGGCGGCGUGCCUAAUACAUGCAAGUAGAACGCUGAAGAGAGGAGCUUGCUCUUCUUGGAUGAGUUGCGAACGGGUGAGUAACGCGUAGGUAACCUGCCUGGUAGCGGGGGAUAACUAUUGGAAACGAUAGCUAAUACCGCAUAAAAUGGAUUAUCGCAUGAUAAUUCAUUGAAAGGUGCAAAUGCAUCACUACCAGAUGGACCUGCGUUGUAUUAGCUAGUUGGUGGGGUAACGGCUCACCAAGGCAACGAUACAUAGCCGACCUGAGAGGGUGAUCGGCCACACUGGGACUGAGACACGGCCCAGACUCCUACGGGAGGCAGCAGUAGGGAAUCUUCGGCAAUGGACGGAAGUCUGACCGAGCAACGCCGCGUGAGUGAAGAAGGUUUUCGGAUCGUAAAGCUCUGUUGUAAGAGAAGAACGAGUGUGAGAGGGAAAGUUCACACU